rnacentral:rRNA from 1 species
UACGGAGGAUCCGAGCGUUAUCCGGAUUUAUUGGGUUUAAAGGGUGCGCAGGUGGUUAAAUAAGUCAGUGGUGAAAGUCUGCCGCUUAACUGUAACAGUGCCGUUGAUACUGGGGAGCUAGGAUUUGGUUGCUGUUGGUGGAAUGUGUGGUGUAGCGGUGAAAUGCUUAGAGAUCACACAGAAUAUCGAUUGCGAAGGCAGCUCACAAAGCCAAGAUUGACGCUGAGGCACGAAAGUGUGGGGAUCAAACAGGAUUA